AAUAUUUGACCAUGGAGGGAACGCGGAUGCGGCAACCCCGCGUGAGUGCAGAAGGUUUUCGGAUCGUAAUACUCUGUCAUUUGGGAAGAAUAAAUGACGGGACCCAAUUAGGAAGCCGCGGCUAACUACGUGCUAGCGGCCGCGGUAAUACGUAGGGGGCGAGCGUUGUCCGGAAUUACUGGGCGUAAAGGGUACGUCGGCGGCUAUAUAAGUCAGGGGUGAAAUACCAGUGCUUAACACUGGAAUUGCACUUGCCACUGUGUAGCUUGAGUGCAGGAGAGGAAAGUGGACUUCAUAGUGUAGCGAUGAAAUGCGUAGAGAUAAGGAGGAACACCCGUGGCGAAGGCGACUUUCUGGACUGUAACUGACGCUGAGGUACGAAAGCGUGGGUAGCGAACA
rnacentral:rRNA from 1 species